rnacentral:tRNA from 1 species
UGAUAAUUAGUUUAAUUUAAAAAUAAAUGAUUUCGACUCAUUAGAUUAUGAUUUAGUUCAUAAUUAUCAU